AGAAUCAACGCUGGCGGCGUGCCUCAGACAUGCAAGUCGAACGCGAAAGCCUCCUUCGGGGGGCAAGUAGAGUGGCGCACGGGUGAGUAACACGUAGGUAAUCUACCUUCGGAUGGGGAAUAACAAUCGGAAACGGUUGCUAAUACCGCAUAAUGCAGCGGCACCUAAUGGUGACAGUUGUUAAAAGCGGGGGAUCGAAAGACCUCGCGUCUGAAGAGGAGCCUGCGGCGGAUUAGCUAGUUGGUAAGGUAAUGGCUUACCAAGGCUACGAUCC
rnacentral:rRNA from 1 species